CGUGGAAGACAGUGAUACUGAUGAUCCUGACCCUGUGCAGGGUCAGCAGCAUGAAUGCUCAGCAGGCAGCUCCCAAGACCACCUGCCCCCAGGUGCAGCCACCCCCACCCCAGGGCAGGGGGAAGAGCGGGAGCCCCACUAUGCCUCCCUCAGCUUCCAGGGCCUGAGGCUCCGGGAGCCUGAGGACCAGGAGGCCCCCAGCAGCACCGAGUACUCAGCGAUCAAGAUCCACAAGAGGCGGCCCCCGAAGGGCUCGGGAUUUGGUUGGAGAGGGAGACGUCAGGGAUGGUUCCGAGGUGAAGAGUGCUCCAUGGAAACAGGACACCAGCAAGUGUGUGGGAGUCGUGCUGGUGUGACAGCCAGAACUGGACUCAGAUUUCAGCCCCAUCCUGAGACUAAUAGUUUGAGCAAGUUACUUUACUCCUCACUUUCCUCCUCUGCGCUGUGGACACAGUCAGCCUAACUCACAGGGUUCUUGUGAGGCAUAAGGAAGUAAUUAACAUAAAGCAUCCAUCAGAGGCGAGUCUCAUCUGAGUCAUGCCUCUUCCCAGGGCAGCCCAUGAUGUGGGCUGUCCACCCUGGUCCAAACCGAGACCCUUCUGCAGGGCAGGUCCAGCUUCAGAGCUCCCUGAAGCCUUGGGUGGGGCUGUCCUUGGGCCGCAUCGGAGCUUGAUUCUCUCUCUGUCGUUCCCGCUCCCCCCACUCCCACACCCAACACUCCCGGAUCCCGGGGCAGCCUACACAUCCCUGCAGGCUGCUCUCCGCCUCAGAGCCCGCUUCCUGGGACCUCAACCUCCGUAUUUGACCAGACACAGAUAAUCAUCCAUUAUUUAUCUGAAAUAAAUUAUAAAUGUGUGAAUCACA